rnacentral:rRNA from 1 species
GGUGGCUUUUGGGCUGUCGCAGAUGGAUGAGCCUGCGUUGGAUUAGCUAGUUGGUGGGGUAAGGGCCUACCAAGGCUACGAUCCAUAGCUGAUUUGAGAGGAUGAUCAGCCACAUUGGGACUGAGACACGGCCCAAACUCCUACGGGAGGCAGCAGUGAGGAAUAUUGGACAAUGGGGGCAACCCUGAUCCAGCAAUGCCAUGUGUGUGAAGAAGGCCUUAGGGUUGUAAAGCACUUUAGUUGGGGAAGAAAGCUUUGAGGUUAAUAGCCUUGAGGAAAAGGACGUUACCCAAAGAAUAAGCACCGGCUAACUCCGUGCCAGCAGCCGCGGUAAUACGGGGGGUGCAAGCGUUAAUCGGAAUUACUGGGCGUAAAGGGUCUGUAGGUGGUUUGUUAAGUCAGAUGUGAAAGCCUAGGGCUCAACCUUGGAACUGCAUUUGAUACUGGUAAACUAGAGUACGGUAGAGGAAUGGGGAAUUUCUGGUGUAGCGGUGAAAUGCGUAGAGAUCAGAAGGAACACCAAUGGCGAAGGCAACAUUCUGGACCGAUACUGACACUGAGGGACGAAAGCGUGGGGAUCAAACAGGAUUAGAUACCCUGGUAGUCCACGCUGUAAACGAUGAGUACUAGCUGUUGGAGUCGGUGUAAAGGCUCUAGUGGCGCAGCUAACGCGAUAAGUACUCCGCCUGGGGACUACGGCCGCAAGGCUAAAACUCAAAGGAAUUGACGGGGACCCGCACAAGCGGUGGAGCAUGUAGUUUAAUUCGAUGCAACGCGAAGAACCUUACCUGGUCUUGACAUCCUGCGAUCUUUCUAGAGAUAGAUUGGUGCCUUCGGGAACGCAGUGACAGGUGCUGCACGGCUGUCGUCAGCUCGUGUUGUGA